UACGUACGAGGCGAGCGUUAUCCGGAAUUACUGGGCGUAAAGCGCGCGCAGGCGGACCAUUAAGUUGGGCGUGAAAUCUCCCGGCCUAACUGGGAGGGGUCGCCCAAGACUGGUGGUCUUGAGGACAGCAGAGGUGGGUGGAAUUCCGGGUGUAGCGGUGGAAUGCGUAGAGAUCCGGAAGAACACCGGUGGCGAAGGCGGCCUGCUGGGCAGUAGCUGACACUGAGGCGCGACAGCGUGGGGAGCAAACAGG
rnacentral:rRNA from 1 species